AUAGCAUCUGAUAGCAAUAGCAUUAGCACUGGUCUCUCCUCUGGGCCCCUGCCAAGGUACAGCAUCUGAUAGCAAUAGCAUUAGCACUGGUCUCUCCUCUGGGCCCCCAGGUACAGCAUCUGAUAGCAAUAGCAUUAGCACUGGUCUCUCCUCUGGGCCCACAGGUACAGCAUCUGAUAGCAAUAGCAUUAGCAUUGGUCUCUCCUCUGGGCCCCCAGGUACAGCAUCUGAUAGCAAUUAGCAUUAGCACUGGUCUCUCCUCUGGGCCCACAGGUACAGCAUCUGAUAGCAAUAGCAUUCGCACUGGUCUCUCCUCUGGGCCCCCGGUAUAGCAUCUGAUAGCAAUAGCUUUAGCACUGGUCUCUCCUCUGGGCCCCCGGUAUAGUAUCUGAUAGCAAUAGCAUUAGCACUGGUCUCUCCUCUGGGCCCCUGCCAAGGUACAGCAUCUGAUAGCAAUAGCUGCCAAGGUACAGCAUCUGAUAGCAAUAGCAUUAGCACUGGUCUCUCCUCUGGGCCCUCAGGUACAGCAUCUGAUAGCAAUAGCAUUAGCACUGGUCUCUCCUCUGGGCCCCUGCCAAGGUACAGCAUCUGAUAGCAAUAGCAUUAGCAUUGGUCUCUCCUCUGGGCCCCCAGGUACAGCAUCUGAUAGCAAUAGCAUUAGCACUGGUCUCUCCUCUGGGCCCCCAGGUAUAGCAUCUGAUAGCAAUAGCAUUAGCACAGGUCUCUCCUCU